CUGCCACCAAUUAAGCCAACUAUGCUUCCCUCCGCAUGGAGUCUGGGAUGCAAAGACUGCAAACAGUGGCCUCCAGGGUAAUAUCUGCAGCCUGUUGCCUGUACACGUUGCUCUAAGGGACCUUGGAGAUAGCC
ensembl:snoRNA SNORA70 Small nucleolar RNA SNORA70